rnacentral:rRNA from 1 species
AUGAAACCAUCACCAUCACCCUCCUUCGAUGCAACACUCUUGCCCUUUGACAAUGCAGACCUCUUGCCCUUUGACGAUGAAGAACUCUUGCCCUUUGACGAUGUAGAACUCUUGCCUUUUGAUAAUGGGUUACUAUUCGCCUUGGUGCUCGGCAUGAAGAUAUCGUCUUCAUCCUCGCUGUCGGCAGUCCAUAAAAAUAUAUAUUAUGCUGCAACCUUAAGGUAUCUUUCACCCUUUGAUUGUUGCUUCAUCCAUCUUCCAUGCAACAUGAGAAGUUCCUUCCGUAUCUCCUCAAAGGUCCUCGAAGGCUACCACACCUACUUAAUGCGCGAGCCAACUCAUUCAGUAGGGUGUCGGGACUAA